rnacentral:rRNA from 1 species
CCUACGGGGGUCUGCAGUGGGGAAUAUUGGACAAUGGGCGAAAGCCUGAUCCAGCCAUGCCGCGUGUGUGAAGAAGGCCUUCGGGUUGUAAAGCACUUUCAGUGGGGAAGAAAGCCUUGGGGCUAAUACCCUCGAGGAAGGACAUCACCCACAGAAGAAGCACCGGCUAACUCCGUGCCAGCAGCCGCGGUAAUACGGAGGGUGCGAGCGUUAAUCGGAAUUACUGGGCGUAAAGCGCGCGUAGGCGGUCUGAUAAGCCGGUUGUGAAAGCCCCGGGCUCAACCUGGGAACGGCAUCCGGAACUGUCAGGCUAGAGUGCAGGAGAGGAAGGUAGAAUUCCCGGUGUAGCGGUGAAAUGCGUAGAGAUCGGGAGGAAUACCAGUGGCGAAGGCGGCCUUCUGGACUGACACUGACGCUGAGGUGCGAAAGCGUGGGUAGCAAACAGGAUUAGAUACCCUAGUAGUC